UCCGUAGGUGGAUAAUUAAGUCAGAGGUGAAAUCCUGCAGCUCAACUGUAGAAUUGCCUUUGAUACUGGUUAUCUUGAGUUAUUAUGAAGUAGUUAGAAUAUGUAGUGUAGCGGUGAAAUGCAUAGAUAUUACAUAGAAUACCAAUUGCGAAGGCAGAUUACUAAUAAUCAACUGACACUGAUGGACGAAAGCGUGGGGAGCGAACAGGAUUAGAUACCCUGUAGUCC
rnacentral:rRNA from 1 species